ensembl:lncRNA
CAGACAUGAACGCUUGCGCUGGCAUAGGAAGUAUUAUGAACAGCUGAUCGGAUUAGCAAAGCCUGUUUCUGCAAUUUUAUGUUUUUGUUGCUGCAAGUGCUUUUAAUGCAAUUUUUGCUAAACCAUAUGUGGAAGAUAACCGUGACCUAGGACAAGCUGAUGGCAUAAGAUCAUGCCAAGCGGCCACCAGGAGUCAGCCGGUACAUACAUGAGCAGACGCAAAGAACCACCAACGCACCGACGUCUGAGGGCAUCAGCCACCGGCAAUGAGUGUGAGUCAGCUCCUGGAGAGAGGAGACCUCCUGCAAAGAUGCAACAGCCUCCCCACUAGUUGGAGAGCCCUCCAGUUGGGCCGAUGCACCAGAGGUCCCCUGCACCAGGGCUGAGCCCCUAUGGACCCACCUGCCUACAACUCUGGUGACACAACAACCAGGACCCAAGCCCCCAAAGCCCAUCCCUACCCCGAUAUCAACCACAAAAGCGAAGGCACGACCAAACCAUGACCCCC